UACGAAGGGGGCUAGCGUUGCUCGGAAUCACUGGGCGUAAAGCGCACGUAGGCGGAUUGUUAAGUCAGGGGUGAAAUCCUGGAGCUCAACUCCAGAACUGCCUUUGAUACUGGGAAGCUUGAGUCCGGAAGAGGUGAGUGGAACUCCGAGUGUAGAGGUGAAAUUCGUAGAUAUUCGGAAGAACACCAGUGGCGAAGGCGGCUCACUGGUCCGGUACUGACGCUGAGGCGCGAAGGCUAGGGGAGCAAACAGG
rnacentral:rRNA from 1 species